UAUUUAUACAGUAUGCAUUGUACAUUAAUAAUAUAUCUUAUCUCACGCAGUGAUUACUUCAAAAUGAGGAGGACCUGCUGCAGUAAGACAGACUGGGUAGACAUAAAAUGGAAGAGAGGAGUAAUGAAACACCCAGUACAGCAGGAUGGCAAUAGCUGUGGGGUAGUUGUCUGCAUGAUGGCAAAGGAGGUCAUGGAAGUCUUUCCUAAAACACCAACAAUGGCCUUUGGGACCACAAAAAAGGAGAUGUUAAAGAAAAGUGUUGGCCAUGGAAAUACUGACAGCAUCAGUGUUUGACAAAGAAGUCAACUGUGCCAUGUGCGCCGGCAUAAAACCACCCGGCUCAGUGCCACAUCACACCCACACUGACUGGAUUCAGUGUGACAGCUGUUUCCGGUGGUGCCACACACAGUGCCUGCAUAUGGACCAAAAGUCUCUUGAAGAGGCACAAGUUGGGGACUGGGUUUGCUCU